AUUGAACGCUGGCGGCAGGCCUAACACAUGCAAGUCGAGCGGCUGAAGGGAGCUUGCUCCUGGAUUCAGCGGCGGACGGGUGAGUAAUGCCUAGGAAUCUGCCUGGUAGUGGGGGAUAACGUCCGGAAACGGGCGCUAAUACCGCAUACGUCCUGAGGGAGAAAGUGGGGGAUCUUCGGACCUCACGCUAUCAGAUGAGCCUAGGUCGGAUUAGCUAGUUGGUGGGGUAAAGGCCUACCAAGGCGACGAUCCGUAACUGGUCUGAGAGGAUGAUCAGUCACACUGGAACUGAGACACGGUCCAGACUCCUACGGGAGGCAGCAGUGGGGAAUAUUGGACAAUGGGCGAAAGCCUGAUCCAGCCAUGCCGCGUGUGUGAAGAAGGUCUUCGGAUUGUAAAGCACUUUAAGUUGGGAGGAAGGGCAGUAAGUUAAUACAUUGCUGUUUUGACGGUACCAACAGAAUAAGCACCGGCUAACUUCGUG
rnacentral:rRNA from 1 species